rnacentral:rRNA from 1 species
CCUACGGGUGGCAGCAGUGAGGAAUAUUGGUCAAUGGGCGCGAGCCUGAACCAGCCAAGUCGCGUGAGGGAAGACGGCCCUACGGGUUGUAAACCUCUUUUGCCGGGGAGCAACGGGCGCCACGUGUGGCGCCACUGCGAGUACCCGGAGAAAAAGCAUCGGCUAACUCCGUGCCAGCAGCCGCGGUAAUACGGAGGAUGCGAGGGUUAUUCGGAUUUAAGGGGUUAACAGGUUUCGGAGGCGGAGCGUUAAGUCAGUGGUCAAAUUGAGGGGCUCACCCCCUUCCCGCCAUUGAAACUGGCGCUCUUGAGUGGAAGAGAGGUAUGCGGAAUGCGUGGUGUAGCGGUGAAAUGCAUAGAUAUCACGCAGAACCCCGAUUGCGAAGGCAGCAUGCCGGCUUCCGACUGACGCUGAAGCACGAAAGCGUGGGGAUCGAACAGGAUUAGAUACCCCAGUAGUC